rnacentral:rRNA from 1 species
GAUGAACGCUGGCGGCGUGCUUAACACAUGCAAGUCGAACGGAAAGGCCCAAGCUUGCUUGGGUACUCGAGUGGCGAACGGGUGAGUAACACGUGGGUGAUCUGCCCUGCACUUCGGGAUAAGCCUGGGAAACUGGGUCUAAUACCGGAUAGGACCACUUCGUAGUUGUUGUGGUGGAAAGUUUUUUCGGUGUGGGAUGAGCUCGCGGCCUAUCAGCUUGUUGGUGGGGUAAUGGCCUACCAAGGCGUCGACGGGUAGCCGGCCUGAGAGGGUGUACGGCCACAUUGGGACUGAGAUACGGCCCAGACUCCUACGGGAGGCAGCAGUGGGGAAUAUUGCACAAUGGGCGGAAGCCUGAUGCAGCGACGCCGCGUGGGGGAUGACGGCCUUCGGGUGGUAAACUCCUUUCGCCAAAGACGAAUUUAGGAUGGUAUUUGGAGAAGAAGCACCGGCUAACUACGUG